GAUCAUGGCUCAGGAUGAACGCUAGCGACAGGCUAACACAUGCAAGUCGAGGGCAUCACGGGAGUAGCAAUACAACUGGUGGCGACCGGCGCACGGGUGAGUAACGCGUAUGCAACCUACCUAUCAGAGGGGAAUAACCCGGCGAAAGUCGGACUAAUACCGCAUAAAACAGGGGCACCGCAUGGUGAUAUUUGUUAAAGAAAUUCGCUGAUAGAUGGGCAUGCGUUCCAUUAGGUAGUUGGUGAGGUAACGGCUCACCAAGCCGACGAUGGAUAGGGAACUGAGAGGUUGGUCCCCCACACUGGUACUGAGACACGGACCAGACUCCUACGGGAGGCAGCAGUGAGGAAUAUUGGUCAAUGGGCGGGAGCCUGAACCAGCCAAGUCGCGUGAAGGAAGAAGGAUCUAUGGUUCGUAAACUUCUUUUGCAGGGGAAUAAAGUGCAGGACGUGUCCUGUUUUGUAUGUACCCUGAGAAUAAGGAUCGGCUAACUCCGUGCCAGCCGCCGC
rnacentral:rRNA from 1 species